UACGGGGGGGGCAAGCGUUGUUCGGAAUUACUGGGCGUAAAGGGCUCGUAGGCGGCCAACUAAGUCAGACGUGAAAUCCCUCGGCUUAACCGGGGAACUGCGUCUGAUACUGGAUGGCUUGAGUUUGGGAGAGGGAUGCGGAAUUCCAGGUGUAGCGGUGAAAUGCGUAGAGAUCGGAAGGAACGUCAAUGGCGAAGGCAGCCACCUGGCAUAAUACUGACGCUGAGGCGCGAAAGCGUGGGGAGCGAACGGG
rnacentral:rRNA from 1 species